rnacentral:rRNA from 1 species
GACGAACGCUGGCGGCGUGCUUAACACAUGCAAGUCGAACGGAAAGGCCCUGCUUUUGUGGGGUGCUCGAGUGGCGAACGGGUGAGUAACACGUGAGUAACCUGCCCUUGACUUUGGGAUAACUUCAGGAAACUGGGGCUAAUACCGGAUAGCAUCUCCUGCUGCAUGGUGGGGGUUGGAACGUUUCGGCGGUUGGGGAUGGACUCGCGGCUUACCAGCUUGUUGGUGGGGGAGUGGCAUACCAAGGCAUUGACGGGUAGCCGGCAUGAGAGGGUGAACGGCGACCAUGGGACUGAGAUACGGCCCAGACUCCUACGGGAGGCAGCAGUGGGGAAUAUUGCACAAUGGGAGGAAGCCUGAUGCAGCAACGCCGCGUGCGGGAUGACGGCCUUCGGGUUGUAAACCGCUUUCGCCUGUGACGAAGCGUGAGUGACGGUAAUGGGUAAAGAAGCACCGGCUAACUACGUG